AUGAGGACUACCCGGGUGUUUCUCCUGGUCCUCGCCUUGCUCAUGCUAGCAUCAGAUUUCGCAGGUGCGGUAACGGCGGCGUCAAUGGACGGUAGCGCUAAGUUCAGGUACAGGUGUGAGGAUACCCUUAUCCCAUCACCAAAGCCAUGUGACGAUGCCGCUUGUAAUGUGGCGUGCUACAACCUUAUUCAGGUACCCAAACAAGGCAAGUGUGACGCCGUCGGGUGCAAAUGCAUGAUAUACGAACGCCAGCCUCCAAUGAGUAGUAACUAG
rnacentral:rRNA from 1 species